GUGCCAGCAGCCGCGGUAAUACGUAGGGUGCAAGCGUUAAUCGGAAUUACUGGGCGUAAAGCGUGCGCAGGCGGUUAUGCAAGACAGAGGUGAAAUCCCCGGGCUCAACCUGGGAACUGCCUUUGUGACUGCAUGGCUAGAGUACGGUAGAGGGGGAUGGAAUUCCGCGUGUAGCAGUGAAAUGCGUAGAUAUGCGGAGGAACACCGAUGGCGAAGGCAAUCACCUGGACCUGUACUGACGCUCAUGCACGAAAGCGUGGGGAGCAAACAGGAUUAGA
rnacentral:rRNA from 1 species